GCUGGCGUGGAUUCCCCCACCUGAGGGAUGAAGNUGCAUGCCGAGGUGCGGUAGGCCUCGUUAACAAACCGCAAAAAAAUAGUCGCAAACGACGAAAACUACGCACUAGCAGCUUAAUAACCUGCUCAGAGCUCUCUCGCCCUAGCUUCCGCACGUAAGACGGGGACCAACGAGGGAUCAAACCCAAACGCGCUAGCCCGGAUUCUCCCGCCUGAGAGAUGAACGGUGAAUUUUAAUUCAGGAUAGUCAUUUACUAGCGUGUCGGUUCGCAGGUGGGUGGUGAAUUUAAAGAUCGACUAAGCAUNCAAACGACGAAAACUACGCACUAGCAGCUUAAUACCCUGCUCAGAGCCCUUCCUCCCUAGCUUCCGCUUGUAAGACGGGGAAAUCAGGAAGGUCAAACCAAAUCAAGCUGGCGUGGAUUCCCCCACCUGAGGGAUGAAGCGCGAGAUCUAAUUCAGGUUAGCCAUUCGUUAGCGUGUCGGUUCGCAGGCGGUGGUGAAAUUAAAGAUCGACUAAGCAUGUAGUACCAAAGAUGAAUGGUUUUCGGACGGGGGUUCAACUCCCCCCAGCUCCACCA
rnacentral:tmRNA from 1 species